rnacentral:misc_RNA from 1 species
GGAACAUUAUUCAUCUUCGUCACUCAAAUCAUUCAAGGCCUCAGAGCAGACCAACUGCAUUUCAAAAAGUUCAACCAAAAUGGCUUCCUUAGGUGAAAAGCAUGUCAAACUUGAAUGCAGGUCUGGGGUUUCGGCAUCAGCAGAAGGUUUGGGGAAAUUAAAGAAACCAUGUCUAAUAAGGCAGUCCUUCAAUUCCAUCCAUGGC